UGAGGAAUAUUGGUCAAUGGAGGCAACUCUGAACCAGCCAUGCCGCGUGAAGGAAGAAUGUCCUAUGGAUUGUAAACUUCUUUUAUUUGGGAAGAAACCCUUCUACGUGUAGAAGGCUGACGGUACCAAAGGAAUAAGGACCGGCUAACUCCGUGCCAGCAGCCGCGGUAAUACGGAGGGUCCAAGCGUUAUCCGGAAUCAUUGGGUUUAAAGGGUUCGCAGGCGGUUUAAUAAGUCAGUGGUGAAAUCUCGGGGCUCAACCUCGAAACUGCCAUUGAUACUGUUAGACUUGAAUACAGUUGGAGUAGGCGGAAUGUGUAGUGAAGCGGUGAAAUGCUUAGAUAUUACACAGAACACCGAUAGCGAAGGCAGCUUACUAAACUGUGAUUGACGCUCAUGAACGAAAGCGUGGGGAGCGAACAGGAUUAGAUACCCUGGUAGUCCACGCCGUAAACUAUGAUUACUCGAUAUUGGCGAUAUACGGUCAGUGUCUAAGCGAAAGUGAUAAGUAAUCCACCUGGGGAGUACGGUCGCAAGAUUG
rnacentral:rRNA from 1 species